rnacentral:rRNA from 1 species
UACGGAGGGUGCAAGCGUUAUCCGGAUUUAUUGGGUUUAAAGGGUCCGUAGGCGGACUAUUAAGUCAGGGGUGAAAGCCCGCAGCUCAACUGCGGAAUUGCCUUUGAUACUGGUAGUCUUGAGUACAAGUGAAGUUGGCGGAAUGUGUGGUGUAGCGGUGAAAUGCUUAGAUAUCACACAGAACACCGAUUGCGAAGGCAGCUGGCUAACUUGUAACUGACGCUGAGGGACGAAAGUGUGGGGAUCAAACAGG